GUGCUUUAGACGCCAUUUCAAAACGCGGCUCUAAUGUCACGAGACGCCGAACUGCAACAGCGACGCCAAACAGGGAUACGUGAGACGUUUUGGCAAGGUUGGAGGACUCAAAGAAGCGCAAGGCUGCUGCGCAGAAGGGGAUGCUCACCGAGCUACUGCCACGGUCACUUCAGCCAGGGCGACAGCCAAGGAACUUGUCAAAGCAGCAGUUUGAAAAGGUGUUUGAUAUGCUGAAA